ACGUAAUAGAUACCCCGGUAUCCACGCCCUAAACGAUGUCUACUAGUUGUUGGUGGAGUAAAAUACCAUGAGUAAACGCAGCUAAACGCGUGAAGUAGACCGCCUGGGGAGGUACGGUCGCAAGAUUAAAACUACAAAGGAAUUGACGGGGGCCCGGCACAAGCGGUGGAUUAUGUGGAUUAAUUCGAUGCAACGCGAAAAACCUUAACCUGGCCUUGACAUGCCACUAAACGAAGCAGAGAUGCAUUAGGUGCCCGUAAGGGAAAGUGGACACAGGUGCUGCAUGGCUGUCGUCAGCUCGUGUCGUGAGAUGUUGGGUUAAGUCCCGCAACGAGCGCAACCCUUGCCAUUAAUUGCCAUCAUUUAGUUGGGCACUUUAAUGGGACUGCCGGUGACAAACCGGAGGAAGGUGGGGAUGACGUC
rnacentral:rRNA from 1 species